rnacentral:rRNA from 1 species
GACGAACGCUGGCGGCGUGCUUAACACAUGCAAGUCGAACGGAGUUAAGGAGCUUGCUUCUUAACUUAGUGGCGAACGGGUGAGUAACGCGUGAGGAACCUGCCUCUCAGUGGGGGACAACAGUUGGAAACGACUGCUAAUACCGCAUAAAACCGUAGUACCGCAUGGUACAUCGGUCAAAGAUUUAUUGCUGAGAGAUGGCCUCGCGUCUGAUUAGCUAGUUGGUAGGGUAACGGCCUACCAAGGCGACGAUCAGUAGCCGGACUGAGAGGUUGACCGGCCACAUUGGGACUGAGAUACGGCCCAG